CCUGAAUUUGUCUAGCGCUGGGUUUUCUGGGCAGAUUCCAAUUGAGAUUUCACGCUUGACGAGGUUGGUUACUAUUGAUUUCUCUAUCCUUUACUUCCUUGGACUUCCUACGCUGAAACUCGAGAACCCAAAUCUGAGAAAGCUGCUUCAGAACCUCAGAGAGCUUAGAGAACUCCAUCUUAAUGGUGUAAAUAUAUCGGCUGAGGGGAAGGAGUGGUGCCAGUCAUUAUCAUCUUCAGUGCCUAAUCUCCAAGUGCUGAGCAUGCCAAACUGUUAUCUUUCUGGCCCUCUUGAUUCUUCCUGCAGAAGCUUCGGUCUCUCUCAAGCAUUCGCCUGGACAAUAAUAACUUCUCUGCUCCUGUUCCAGAAUUCCUUGCGAAUUUCUUGAAUUUGACUCUAUUGCGGCUCAGUUCUUGUGGAUUACAUGGAACCUUUCCAGAGAAGAUCUUUCAGGUACCAACCCUACAGAUUCUUGAUUUGUCAAACGACAAGUUACUACAAGGUUCUUUGCCGAAAUUCCCUCAGAAUGGAUCUCUAGGAACCUUGGUGCUCUCGGAUACAAAAUUCUCAGGGAAAGUACCAUACUCCAUAGGCAAUCUCAAGAGGUUGACUAGAAUAGAGCUUGCAGGUUGUGAUUUCAGUGGCCCAAUCCCAAACUCGAUGGCAGACCUUACACAACUGGUCUACUUGGACUUAUCUAAUAACAAGUUUUCCGGUUCAAUCCCACCUUUUAGUUUGUCCAAGAACCUGACCCGAAUAAACCUUUCUCAUAAUUAUUUAACAGGCCCGAUUUCUUCCUCUCACUGGGAUGGCCUAGUGAAUCUAGUGACUCUUGACUUGCGAGACAAUUCACUGAAUGGAAGUCUCCCCAUGCUCCUGUUUUCCCUCCCAUCACUGCAGAAGAUACAACUGAGCAACAACAAAUUUUCUGGUCCCUUGAGUAAAUUUUCAGUUGUGCCUUUUUCUGUACUGGAGACCCUUGAUUCGAGUAGCAACAAUCUGGAAGGGCCAAUACCUGUAUCUGUCUUUGAUCUCCAUUGUCUUAACAUCCUUGAUCUUUCUUCCAACAAAUUCAAUGGCACUGUUGAACUAAGCAGCUUUCAGAAACUUGGAAAUCUUAGCACUCUUAGUCUUUCAUACAACUUCUUGUCCACCAAUGCGAGUGUUGGUAAUCCCACUUCACCUCUGCUGUCGAAUCUUACCACAUUGAAAUUGGCUUCUUGCAAACUCAGUACAUUACCUGAUCUUAGCACCCAGUCAAGAUUGACACAUUUAGACCUUUCCGAUAACCAAAUUCGCGGGAGCAUACCUAAUUGGAUUUGGAAGAUUGGUAAUGGAUCUCUUAUGCAUUUGAAUCUCUCUCAUAAUUUACUGGAGGAUCUGCAGGAAACUCUCUAAUUUUACUCCUUAUUUGUCCAUCCUUGACCUACAUUCCAACCAGCUCCAUGGCCAAAUCCCCACUCCUCCCCAAUUUUCCAAAUAUGUGGAUUACUCAAACAACAGUUUCAACUCUUCCAUCCCAGAUGAUAUUGGUACUUACAUGUCCUUCACUAUUUUCUUCUCUCUUCCGAAGAAUAACAUCACUGGAAGUAUUCCUAGAUCCAUCUGCAAUGCAACUUACCUGCAAGUUCUUGACUUCUCUGACAAUGACUUUAGUGGCGAAAUACCAUCAUGUUUAAUUCAGAAUGAGGCUCUUGCAGUGUUGAAUCUAGGGAGGAACAAGUUUGUUGGCACUAUACAUGGGGAAUUGCUGCACAAGUGUCUUUUACGGACGCUAGAUCUCAGUGAGAAUCUUUUACAAGGAAACAUUCCAGAAUCUCUAGUUAAUUGCAAAGAGUUAGAGAUUUUAAACCUUGGGAACAACCAGAUUGAUGAUAUCUUUCCUUGCUGGUUGAAGAACAUAAGCAGUUUGCGUGUCCUUGUUCUGAGAGCCAACAAAUUCCAUGGAACCAUUGGAUGUCCCAAGAGUAAUUCUACCUGGGCAACGCUUCAGAUUGUCGACCUAGCCUUCAACAAUUUCAGUGGUAAGUUGCCAGCAAAAUGCUUAUCGACCUGGACAGCAAUGAUGGCGGGUGAAAAUGAAGUCCAAUCCAAGCUCAAAAUCCUGCAAUUUAGGGUUCAACAAUUCAGUCAAUUGUACUAUCAGGAUACUGUAAGAGUUAUCAGCAAAGGUCAAGAAUGAGUUGGUGAAGAUCCUAACUCUCUUCACCUCCAUUGACUGGUCGUACAACAAUUUUGAAGGGGAGAUACCAGAAGUGAUAGGGAACUUCACAUCCCUUUAUGUUCUCAACUUAUCGCAUAAUGGUUUCACAGGCCAAAUCCAAUCGUCAAUAGGGAAUCUGCGACAACUUGAAUCAUUAGACCUCUCGCAAAACAGGCUGAGUGGAGAGAUACCUACACAGCUUGCGAACCUAAAUUUCCUUUCAGUCCUGAACCUCUCAUUCAACCAAUUGGUGGGAAGGAUCCCUACAGGUAAUCAAUUGCAAACAUUUUCACCAAAUUCCUUCGUGGGUAACAGAGGAUUAUGCGGCUUCCCCGUAAACGUAAGUUGCGAAGAUGCUACACCACCGGCGUCUGAUGACGGGCACUCAGGCUCCGGGAUGGAGAUUAAGUGGGAAUACAUAGCUCCUGAAAUUGGAUUUGUGACAGGAUUGGGAAUCGUGAUUUGGCCUCUAGUGUUGUGCAGGAGAUGGAGGAAAUGCUACUACAAACAUGUUGAUAGAAUUCUUUCAAGGAUUCUCCAAGGAAGAGCAAGUGGUGGAAGAAGAGCUCACAGAAUUCGCCUCCGGAGGCGGAGAAUGUAGCCGUGGUGCAGAGGGAUGAAGUGAUUAGUCAAGAGUCCAUUUCCAUUAAUCCAAUCCUAUGUUUCAUUGAAGGAAUAUUAAAAAGGGGUCCAUAUUAUUGGAUGGGCCUUCAAUCCGUGUGUCAAAUGUAAUUCUGGCUUGCUUCUUAUAAAUUUAAUCGAAUGCAUAAUUUUAUAUUUGGACAAUGUCAUGGUGAAGUAGAUUUUCAAAGUAACAUUUUUCUUACCAUAUUCAGCCCAAUCAACACAUCUCAAGCCAUAAGGGAUACAACAUUGAUAAGCAAGUAAUUAUCAUACUAGGUGGUAAGGUGGCUGCCCAUCUACUUAUAAAAGUUUCAUCCUCUUACAGGCUUUCACAUUAAAUUUGGCAAUGGUUCUCACUUUAUUUUAUUUUUUACCACAUUUUUUUAUUAUUUUGUUAAUUUAUGGGAAGAAAAAAAUUUAUCAAUUUUUUUUAUAGUCCAUUGUUCCAAUGAAAUGAUUAAACAAUGAUAAGAGUAUGAGAUUUUCAAAAGUAGAAGGUCAAUCGAUAUAACUUGUAAAUUUUUAGAUUUUAAUGGAAUUUGAAAAGUACUAAUAUUAUCAUGCAAGUGAAAUAACAACAUGAACUUGAAAAAUUAAACCCAAAACCAUCUCUAAAAUUAUCAAUAUCCUGACCCAACUUCACAUUCAACUUGAAUCUCUUUAAACAAGUUCAAUCCUUUCUAUUUUUCAAUUUUCUUUCACUUUUUUUUUUCUUUCUAGAAUUAGACUCUUUAUGGGUACCAUGAAAAAGAUUGCUAGCUAGGAAUGUAAAGCAUGGUUUUUAAGAAUGAUAAGUGCUCAUAUAUAUUUUGAAUCAAAUUUAAGAGAAAGUUCAUUACAAUGAAUUGAUUUUCACUUAACUACUCAUAAUUCUAGUAUGAUACAAGGAUUCCAUAUAAUCCAAAUCAUAAAUCCAAAUAAGAACUUUAUGUCUAUGGGAAAUCUAAUAAGCUCUAAUUGAAGUCAUCUAAAUUUAUCAUUUGAUAUUUAAGCUCUAAUUGAAUCCAUUAGAAUUGUUAUUUGAAUUUUAGACAUAUUAGAUAUCAUUUAGACUUCUUUUAGAUAAUUCGUAUAUCUUGUUUUCCAGGAAAUUUGAUUUCUUUGUCCAAACUUGAUGUUUUCGAACAUACUUUCAAAUUUAAUUAGAAACAAAUGUCUCAAUUUUUUUCAAAUAAUCAUCUUUUCCAUUCUAAUAUCUUACAUGAUGAUUUGUAGAAGUUGAAACUCGAUAACCUUUUUACCAAGAUCCUUGUUACCUUGCACUAUAAUGUUUAGUAGAUAAGCUUUUAGUUUUCUAGUGACAUAAAUGUUGGAGAUUAGUAGAGAAUGAAAAUCUUCAAAACUUAGAUUUUAUUGAUACUCAACGUGUAUGUGGAUUGCAUUAGAGUAAAACCAACCAAACACACUAAGAAAUAAGCUACUAGGAAAAAAAUAAUAAAAAUUAUAUUAGAAAAAAAAAUCCAUAUGCAUUCGUAUAUAACGGAGCUUACAACCAAUCUACAAAUAUUAAUAAAAUAUUCGUAUACAAACGGAUUUUUCACUAGCCGUUGGAGCAUUUAAUGCUCCGUUAUCUUUGACCAGACAUCGAUCAAGAAGGCAAAUACCUCGACCAGGAAGGAAAGGCUAUUAGCAGAGAGAGAGAGAGAGAGAGAGAGAGAGAGUGUGUUUUUUGCUCCUCUCGACUAGAUCUCAAUCAAGAAGGAGUAAUCGGUCAACCAGUACCCUGGUCGGUUGAGCCGGUUUGGCCAGUGUCUCGACUGGUUCACCAUUUUUGGCCCAAAAAACCUAUAUUUUUUUGCUAUUUUCUCUUCUAACACUUAGGCAAGGUAUUUAGGUAAAUUAAUUUGCCAAUUUUGAAAUGAUUUGCCUAAGGUUCAUUUGAUAAAACUCGGGUUUUGAUGGAAAUGUAACUUUAAAGCAUAAACUGAGUUUUUCAAAUAUGCAUGAAAUGAUACGUAAAUCCUAAGUGCACCCAUGCAUUCAUCUUACAUAUGUUUCCUAUGAUUAAAGGUCUUCCAAAAGUCUUAAUCUUGCAUCCAUUAGGUCAUUUGAUGAAUUUCCAAACUGACAUUUGAAAUUGUUUAUAAUUCAAACCAAUUAGUAACUUAACCAUAAUUUGUUAUCAUCAAAACAUGAUUAGGAGAACCCUUGGGCUAACAAUCUCCCCCUUUUUUAUGAUGACAAACCUUGGUUAUCUAAGAGAAAAAGAAUCUCCCCCUCAAACCAAUCAUGGAUCAACAAUCAAAAUUUACGAAGUUAAAACCAAGAUAAUCAAGACAUACUAGAGAGAAUUUGCAAUAAGAAACAACGUAAGUCAUCAAAAAUAUAAGAAUAUCAUAUAUAAGUCAAUGUAUCAAUAUCCAGUAUAUACGAUCCAAGUGAUAUGACAAUGAUAUGCAUGUAAGUCUCCUAGAUCCUAAAAUAUCUCCCCCUUUUGGCAACAUAAAAAAUGAACUAAUAGGGUCUCGAAGGAAUCAAGGAUGAGGAAGUGGAGGAGAAAACACAGAGCGCAAAUAAGCCAUCAUAUUCUCAUGUUGACUCUCCAAACGAUCCUCAAUACGCUCAAUCCCCUAUUGGAGAUACUCAAACUGUGAAGUGAAGCCAACCUGAUGAUCCAUGCAAUCCUCCAUAAAGUAGAACCGUGUGUCACUGACUACAACAAGCUCCUCCAUAUGAGUGCUUAGAGAGCUAAUCUAAGCAGAUAAAUCCAUCCAUGGAGCAUGGUCAAGAGCAAGAGGUGUUUAAGCAAAUGGUAUCUCAAAAAGUGUAGGCUUAGUGAAUGCAAGUUCAAAGGAAGACUUAGUGAAUGACAAUUAAGUAUAUGGACCCGCUAUAAAAGUUGGCUCAAACAUCAUUGGCUCAGAGAAAGUAGUCUCAAACUGAACACCACUAACUGGAGUGGAGGAAUGUCAAGCUCGGGCUCUCUCUGUUGAUAGCCACUCUGAGGGUCUACUCCACACUCCAUCUUUUUAAUCUCUACCUCCUCCUCAACUCCGGGAUGUGCCUGUCCCUGUCCCCGAGCUUGUGUCGUUGCUCUCUUUGCUUUCCUUACCCAAGAACCAUUUGUGGCCUUCUCAAAUUUCAUCUUCCCCAUGGACUGAUCAUCAUACGUAUCAUAAGCGUUGGGGACCUCAAAGUUUGUCUCUCUGCUCAAGUCAAUGCCGACAUCCUUGCACACUCUAGUAAGGAAGUGACCAUAGGGGAGUACGCGAGUCGUGCUCUCGCAACAUGAGAUCAAGUGCAUCAUCAUCAAGUACCCCAAGUGGAUUCGUCUUCCAGUCAAAAUAGAGUCAAUAAGGAAUGCCUCAUAAUAAGAGACCUCAUCUCGGUGUCCACCCCGUGCAUAUGAUGUAGCACUUUGCUGAUGACCGUCAGGUUGUGUGCUGAGGGUUUGUCCAUCCCGUGGGCAUCUACAAGUUCACAAAUCCUCUUAAUGGCUCUAGGCUCAAAUCUUGGCACAAUGGGCCACAUUUUGGACUCAUAUACUUUGAGUCCAACUGGAGCAAUAUCGAAAAUACUACAAAUGCUCUUUAGUCCAGACGAAUCUUGACGCCUUUAACAGUAGAAAUGAUCGAGCCACCUGAUGAGAAUCAACAAGCAUUCGAGGAUCCAUUGUAUGUUCCAGUUGGGCCUAUUACUAAAGCAAGAUCCAAGAAGAUUAAAGAAGCAAUUAAUGGGCUAAUUCAAGAGAUUUGGGUUGAUUCUAACGUAGGACAUUCCAAGCUUGGCCCAAAGGAAGAUGAAGGUGUAAUAAAUUUAAUCGAAGCUAUUGAGGGCUAAUCUGGCUUGAUUGGGCGUGAUUUAUGGCGUGGAUUAAUGACUGAUUGACUUUCGAACUCCAUAUCAGUUAAUAGACAUUUUUCCUAUUUUAGAGCUUCUAAUUUUAGGUUAAAUCUACCUUAAUUUUAGGCUUUUAUUAUUUAGAACGAUUUUUAGCUAUUUUCCUAUUUUGGAUUUGCUAAUUUCAGACCAACUAAACUUUUAUUUAGGGUUUUAAUAUUUAGUAAGUUUUUAUUUCAUGACAUAUAAAUAGCAUGCACUCAUUGUAAUAGAGGAUAAUUUGAUUGAAUAAAAAAUUAGAAAAGGUGAGGCUUUGCUCUUCUUUUGGUUCUUCAAGGACUAUGAACUUAUCAGGGAUUCUUCUUUGUGGCUUUCAAACUUUAUACUUUCGGUUCGUGAUUCCAUUGUAAUCAUUGGGUCAAGGUUGUUACUUAUACUUUUGGUUCACGUUUCACUUAUAAACGUUGGGUGUUCUAUCAAAAAUCUGUAUUUUAGCUUUCUUGGGCAAUUAUUCCAAUACUGUUUGUUGGGUCUCAAAGCGUGUCGAUUGAGGUUCACAUCAUUUGGUAUUAGAGCUCAGGUUCUAAAAUCAGUCGAUUGAGGUUCGCAUCACCACCUAUGCCAUAAGUCGCCUUUGAGUAAAAAGCUCACACCAAAGUCGAGAAAAUCGACUCCAAAACAGUGACCACAGGAAACCAACCCAUCCUAGUGAAUAAACCCUCGAAUCCGAAGUGCUCAAGUUGGGGAAAAUUAAUAUUUCUCCUCAGAACUACUCGUCCCAAAGCAAAGUGAUGUUUGUACCGUUGGUAGUCCACCACGAAGUUGAACAAGGCAGUAUCAAACCUUGCCUUUCGGGUUUGACAAGGUUCCAAAAGCUUGAAUCCUAAAUCCUUAAGAGGGUUUAUAUAGGAUUUCCUAUGGACUUAAGUGACUUGAGCCCAAAUUUGGCUUGAGUCACCCGAUCUAGCCCACUUGGGUCCUAAUUAAUUAAUUAUUUUAAUGGACUCCAAUUAAUUAAUUAGCUCAAAACACCAAUCUAGAAAAAUUGUUCAUAAGAUCUUGUGCAACCUUGUAUUUUUACUAAAACACCCUUAUGUGCCCUUAUGAACUACAAAUCUAAAUCUCUCAAAUAAAACAUGUCACCAUGAACUAGGAGCUCAAGCGGGGACCAUUGGGACCUAUAAGAUUAUAUUGGCUCCCUCAUAAUUGAAUUCCAAAAUUGAUUCGAGAAUCCACUAAAGAGAAACAAUUGUACUUCGGUAUCCUACAUUAAGACAAAGCUUAGGUUUGUAACCUACUAUUCAUUGCAUGCAAAUUCCUCAUGAAUUAGUGUUUGUAAUCUAAUAAGGUAGUGUUAUCAACCUAUCAAGAUUAGCUCUUUAAUCUUUAAGUUAUAAAUCCUCCUAUUAUGUGAUCAAUUGACAUACUCUAGCUUAUAAAGAACAUAUAUCAAAAUUCACUUAAAGAAUUACUACAACCACAUAUUUCAUAAUCAUAUGCCCUUUAGAUCAUCCAAGGGAACACUUUGUCCCAAUUCUAUGAGAUGCCAUGGUGCCUCUAUUGAGAAUAUGUAUUAUCACCAACCUCCAUCAACAAUUGCAAUUCAUAGGGAAUCUAUAUAUAUAAUCACUUUAGGGUCUUACCUAAUGGUCAAAACCUCCUAUUGAUUUUUAGCAUAGACUUAAUAUCUUCUUAAAGUUGAGAGUCCAUGCAAUAUAGUAACUUUGUGAAUCAUGACAACCCAAUGACCUUAUGUCAUGAUUCAUCAUAGGCACGAUUUGAAAUAUUGCAAAAUUUCAGCGAAAUAUCGUCGAUUUUUCGCUUAUCGGAGAGAAUCAACAUGACAUUCGUCAUUGAUAAUCAAUUGACGGAUUUAUUGCGGAUUUUUUUGGGAAUAUCGGUAAUAUUUUGGCAUUUAUCGACAUUUUUGCCUAUUUUUCGAAAAAUUUCCCGAUUUUUUGGUGCCAACCACUUUGGUCAACACGAAAUCAACCCUCACAUUUUUUGUUGUAAUGCCUAGGGGAUUUGAACCUAGGUCAAAAGGCUUGGGUUGAACCCUGGUUACAACUGGGCCAAAAUGUCAUUUGUAAAUAUAUGUUCAAUUUAAAUAUGUUAAAGUUCAGCAUUUAAAAAAUAAUUUUAAUUAUUUUAUUUUAAAUUUUAUGUAAUUGAUUAAUAAAAAUAUAAAAACCAACAUUAUAAUUUUUUUAACAAGUCUUUUUUUAUAUCAUUUAUAUGAUAAUUAAAUAUAAAAAAUAUAAAUAUUAAAAAAUCAUAUAUGUAUCAUCAUUUAUUUUACAUUAUUGAAUGCAUUUAAAUUAAAUAAAUUAUAGUUUUAAUAUUAAAUGUAUUAUUAUUGAUCUCAUUAAUCUUAUUUUAAAAAAUAAUUAUCACUUCACUUUUAAAUUUUUUAUAUUUAUUUGUUUAUUUUUUAAUAUCUUUAUUUUAAAAUAUUAAAAAUAUAAAUUUAUUCAAAAUAUACUAAAAUAUAUAUAAAAAAAUUAAUAAUGAAGUUCUAAUAUUUUAUAAAUUAAAAUUAAUUUGAUAAGAUAAAUAAUAAAUUAUAUAUUAUGAUUGAUAUAUCCUUGCUUAGAGAUAAUUUUCUCCUUAAUCAUACUUAUGUCAAUUAUACUUACAAAUUAACUUUAGCAUGUGCCUUUUUACUUAUUUUAUCAUUUUUUUUUGGAGUUUUUCCAAAUAUUUCAAUGAAUUUUGAAUAAUUUUCACCUCACCAAAAUUUUUGUCAAAAUAUUCACCAAUAUUUCUCCGAUAUUUUCAAUAUAAUCGUAAAAUUCAAGUAUCAAUAUAUCCAUAUUUUCCAAUAUUUCAAACCAUGAUCAUAGGUCUUGUCUUAUGUAUAACCAAUACACACUAGUGUACUCACAAUAGGAACCCUAUCUCAAUGGUCAAGAUAAGUCAUAUUUUAUAACCAUACACACUAGAUUUUAAAAGUGUGAGAUAAUGCUCAUAAAAAUAACAAAGUAGAGAAUUUGUUGAUAAUUAUUCCCAAAUAAAUGUCAUUAAAACAAUUUGAACUAGAAUUUAAAAUAAAAAGAUGUCACAUGGAUUAACCUAGGAUUUGAGAAAUUUGGCCUCAUCAUAGGCCAUACUACAAACCUUAGAUGAAUUUUAGGAGAAAAUGAGUAGAAGUUAGAAUAAUAAAACAGUUCUUUUAUUUUCCAAAACAAAAAAAUUGGAAAACACAUUUUACAAUCAAAAAAUAUUUUAUGCUUUUUGUUCUCAAGAACAGAAAACAAAGUGUUUCAGAUAAUAUCUUUUAGUUAUUUUAAUUAUUUUCACUUAUUUUUUUAGAGUUGUUUUAAAAAAUAAUUAUAGAAAUAUGUAUCAUGAUUAAAAAUAAAGCUCGAUCUAGAUAUAAAAAUAAUUUUUAAAACUUACUUAAAAAUAUUAAAACCAUUUCAAAUUCUCAAACAGACUUUUAGUUUACAAAACAUCAAAGAAUAGUUUUUAAAAAUUGUUCUUAAAAACUAUUUUUCAGAAUUAUUUCAAAAACAGUUAUCACACAGGUCCUUAAUUUCUAGCCUGUGAAAGAAGAGACAAAAAUGAGUAAUUUUGUUUAAUAUAAAUAAACAAAGAGUCAUGUGAAUAAAGGGAUCCUUGAUAUAACAACAAAAAUCAACCUUUCCAACUUCUCAAGUGAUUCUAUCUCUUUGUUGACCAUCGUGACAACCUUAAUCUCUUUUCAUUAGCAGUAGGAGUAAGGUAGAUUAGCAGUAGAUUCAUCAAUGGGGAAACCAUUUUAUGCUUGUUCCUAUCAUUUAGGUUUACAUCAAUGAGUGGUUUGGAGGGUGUACUACCUAUAGUCUAUUUAAAUUUGAGGGGAAAGGCUUUUAUCCUUUAAAGGACUUCUUGCCACCCUUCUUCAAUUUUGGGGAGAGUUCGAUCAAUAUUCAAUAACCAUUUAGCAUUAUUAUCCAAGGGGUCAUGGGAGAGAAGUUUCUCUAGCAUUGGUUAUGCCAUAUCCAAUAUACACAUCACUAGAGGGUGACAUUAUCCCAAUAAUCACAUCAUGCCCUUCAGUACCAGUAUAGUUUUGAUCAAUGCAAUUUGCUGUGAAUUUCUGUAGUGGUAGAAUUAUAGCCAGGAGGUUCUAGCCCCAGUAUCCACCAUAGGCCAGCAAAGUGAAUAAUCCUAGGAGAAUAAGCUCAGAAGCACAAGGAUUUGAUCAAUGGAACCUGGUUUUUUUUGUUUUAAUUUCUUUACUGAUAUAAUAAACCUUCUGUUUAUUUGGUUCGCUGUCAUUAUUAUAAUCUCUAGUAGUUGCACCAUCCUGGGUGAAUGAGCUAUUACCCCUACCAAUUGAACUUUUUUUUGGUUAUAGUCCUUGGUAUUCUCUUGGAAUUGACAACCAUUUGGAAAAUAAAAAUUCCUUUAUUUAGACAUAAAAAGAAUCCACAAGCAUGGACCAUUGCUAAAAGAAGAUUGAUAUGAGACUAUUCAACCCGAGACACUAUUUGCCUAGGUAUAUUUCGGGAUGGUGAUUAAUUCCUCUAAUAGGACUAGAACAAAUGGCUAAAUUGCUCUGAUAUGCUCACAUCUUUAAUCAAUAAGUUUACACUAAAUCAGUAUAACUCCCUACCAAAACGCUAGGUGAGAGAUCAGGGGCAAAGCUAGGUAGUGUCUGGGAGGGGCAAAUGAAAUUUUAAUAAAAAUAUUAGGGUUUAUUGCUAACUAUUUGGUUACUGGUGAAGUUCCAAGUGAGUGGAAAACACAAGACAGGAAGCACUUUUUUGCAAAGAUUCAUGCUUAUUAUUGGGAAGAGCCCUUCCUUUUCAAGUAUUGUGCAGAUCAGAUCAUAAGGAAGUGUGUCCCUGAAGAAGAGCAACAAGGGAUCCUCAGCCACUGCCAUGAGAAUGCCUGUGGAGGCCACUUUGCCUCUCAGAAAACAGCAAUGAAGGUCUUGCAAUCAGGGUUUACUUGGCCAUCGCUUUUUAAAGAUUCCCACAUCAUGUGUAGGAGUUGUGAUAGAUGCCAAAGACUCGGGAAGCUUACAAAAAGAAACCAAAUGCCCAUGAACCUGUGGACCCGCAUUUUUCACGUGCGUCCCCACUCGAUCGGCGAGACUCGCUUUUUAUUUAUUUGUGAAAAAUUGAUUUUUGAAAAAAAAGUUGGAGUCGCCACUUAUUUUAUUUUUAUUUUUGAAGGGAAAAUAAAACAAGAAAUAAAACCCUAAAAAAAAUGACUCCAUAAUUUUUGGAAAAGCGUGUCUUUGAAAACCCAAGUCUUGGUCCGGGGAUCAGGUUACUUAUUGGGAAGGUACCUCUAGGAGGUAACACCCCUCUAAGCCCUAAAGAGGUCUCUACUAAUUAAGUUAAGGGGAAUAUGGCAAUUAAUCGGUUAAUUAUGGAUACCUAAGUAGGCUAGGUGAUUUCAGAAAAUUUGCAUGCUAAACAAGAUCAAAUUGCCNNNNNNNNNNNNNNNNNNNNNNNNNNNNNNNNNNNNNNNNNNNNNNNNNNNNNNNNNNNNNNNNNNNNNNNNNNNNNNNNNNNNNNNNNNNNNNNNNNNNNNNNNNNNNNNNNNNNNNNNNNNNNNNNNNNNNNNNNNNNNNNNNNNNNNNNNNNNNNNNNNNNNNNNNNNNNNNNNNNNNNNNNNNNNNNNNNNNNNNNNNNNNNNNNNNNNNNNNNNNNNNNNNNNNNNNNNNNNNNNNNNNNNNNNNNNNNNNNNNNNNNNNNNNNNNNNNNNNNNNNNNNNNNNNNNNNNNNNAACAAAGAAUUAAGAUCAACUAAUGCAUUUAAAUUAAAAAUGAAUUGAAAUCAAACUAAUUGGGAUUAAAAAUACAAACUUUAUUCAAUACAAUUAUUUAAACUUAAGAAUUAAAAUCAACAAAAUACAUUUAAACUAAAAAAAAAAAGUUAAAAUCAAACUAAUUGGGAUUAAAAAUACAAACUUUAUUCGAUAUGAUUAUUUAAACUUAAGAAUUAAGAUCAAUAAAAUGUAUUUAAACUAAAAACGAAUUGGAAUCAAACUAAUUGAGAUUAAAAACAUAAACUUUAUUUAACGUGAUUAUUUAAAGUCAAGAAUUAAGAUCAACAAAAUACAUUUAAACUAAAAAACAAAUUAAAAUCAAACUAAUUGAGAUUAAAAAUACAAACUUUAUUCGAUAUGAUUAUUUAAACUAAAGAUUUAAGAUCAACAAAAUACAUUUAAACUAAAAAACGAAUUGAAAUCAAAUUAAUUGGGAUUAAAAAUACAAACUUUAUUUAACGUGAUUAUUUAAAACAAAGAAUUAAGAUCAACAAAAUAAAUUUAAACUAAAAAACAAAUUAAAAUCAAACUAAUUGGGAUUAAAAAUACAAACUUUAUUCGAUAUGAUUAUUUAAACUUAAGAAUUAAAAUCAUUAACAAACUUAAACUAAAAGAUAGAUUAGAAUUAAACUAAUUGGGGAUUUAAAAAUAAAAUAAUAUAAACUUUAACACAAAGAAUUAAUCAAAAACUAAAAUUUCCAAAAAAUAAAAAAAAAAAUAAAAAAAAAUCUAGGCUAAAUAAAAGUACUAUAUAGAAAACUAACCUUUGAAGUGAAAGAGAAAAUCCUCUCUUGAUGAUUAAAUGACAGCCCGAUCUCCGUUCGAAGUCCCUUGCUUUUUUCCCAAAAUUCCGUGUGCUCUGCCCCCCCCAAGAAAAAUCUCCUAUUCUUUUCCUUUUCUCACCUAUAUAUAUCACCCCUCAAGACCUAAAUUUGUUUCCAAAAAGGAAAAUUCUCCUCCUUCCUUUCUUCUUCUCUUCUUUUUUUAAAUCCUCCAAUCAAAAGCAAUCUUCCCAAUUUCAAAUUCCCCUCCAAAACCUUCCAAGGAGAGUCCCAUCUUCCUUAAACUCCAAUGGUAAGUUUCCUUGCAAAAACAUGAAAUUUUUGAAGUUAAAUAAUUGCAUGUAUAGAUAAAUAAGUAAAUAAAUUAAAAAAUGGUAAAAAUAAUAAAUAAAUAAAUAAGUUAAGGAAAAUAAUAUAAAGAGGAAGAUAACCAAUAAAAAGUGAAUGAUAAUCAUAAAAUUAAAAUUAAAAACAAAAUAAAUAAAUAAAUAAAUAAAAUAAAAUAAAAUAAAAUAAAAGUCUUCGUAGGCCUAGUGUGCCUAAACGGGCCUAAGGUGAGACUAAGUGGGCCUAGGGUAGUGCCUAAUGGGCCAAGUGUAUCUAAAAGCUAUCCUAAAAAAACAAGAAAAGCCUAAAUCUAAGUUAGGGCUGCCAAGGGUCACAAUAAGGGAUCAAAUAAUCCCUCAACCAAAAUCUCCGAGGUGACUCAGAAAAAGGUAAGUGGUAUGAGUAGCCAUGGGCCACCAAGGAACUAUUGUGGAGCAUUGAAAAUGAAUUUUAAAGACAUGUGCUAAAGGGACAAAAUUGAGGGUCUACAGAACCCCAUCCUUAUAGUUGAUCUUUUUGAUGUUUGGGGUAUUGACUUCAUGGGACUUUUCCCAAUGUCUUUUGGUAACUCUUAUAUAUUGGUGGGGGUGGACUAUGUUUCCAAAUGGGUGGAGACAAUCCCCUGUAAACAUAAUGAUCACAGGGUGGUUCUCAAAUUUCUCAAGGAGAACAUCUUCUCAAGAUUUAGGGUGCCCAAGGCCAUAAUCAGUGAUGGAGGUACUCAUUUUUGCAAUAAACCUUUUGAAGCACUAUUAGCCAAGUAUGGAGUGAAGCAUAAGGUAGCUACACCUUAUCAUCCUCAAACUUCCGGGCAAGUGGAGCUAGCAAACAGAGAAAUAAAAAACAUACUGAUGAAAGUGGUGAUUACAAGCAAAAAAGAUUGGUAUAUUAAGCUGCAUGAUUCAUUAUGGGCAUAUAGAACAGCUUAUAAGACUAUUCUUGGCAUGUCUCCCUAUCGUCUCGUCUAUAGCAAAGCAUGUUACCUCCCUGUGGAAGUUGAAUAUAAAGCUUGGUGGGCAAUCAAGAGGUUGAACAUGGACUUGAUCAGAGCUGGGGCAAAGAGGUGCUUAGACCUUAAUGAGAUGGAGGAAUUAAGAAAUGAUGCUUACAUCAAUUCCAAAGUUGCAAAACAGAGGAUGAAGAAAUGGCAUGAUCAGCUAAUCUCCAACAAAGAAUUGAGGAGAUGACAAAGAGUCCUACUCUACGACUCAAGGCUCCAUAUUUUUCCAGGGAAGCUCAAGUCAAGGUGAAUAGGUCCUUUCAUUAUUCACCAAGUACAUCUUAAUGGAGUGGUGGAAUUACUAAAUUCCAAUGGCAUAGAUACCUUCAGAGUCAAUGGUCAUCGCCUCAAGCCAUUCAUUGAGUCGUUCAAGCCAAAAAAUGAGGAAAUCAACCUCCUUGAGCCACAAAAAUCCUGAUCAGAGAAGGGUUAGAUGGACUUGGUUUCACCAAAGUCCAUAAUUUUGUUAAAUAUGUUAAUUUUUAAGUUUUGUAAAUUAUUUGAUUGUAAUUCUGAUCUUAAAUUAUGUUAAUUGUAACUAAUUUUUUUGAAUGAUUAAAAUCAGGAGGAAUUACAAGAAAAUCGAAAGAAGCUGCUCCCAGCUCCUCAGAGCCAUCACAGGCCCCUCUUUUUGUUAAUCAGCCUUUGCCUCAUUCAGAGCCUCCUAUAGGAGAGACAGCUAAGCCAUUAUUUCCACAGCAUCACUUCAUGUCACUCAGGAGGUACCACUUCCUCCCUAUUUUUCAAUUGCUUCUGUCACAUUGAGGACAAUGUUCAGUUUGGUUGGGGGGAGAGUUGAGGAAGGAAGUUUUUGUUAUUAAUGCUAAGUUAUUUUGGUAAUUUAGUUGCUUUUUGCUUAAUUUUAAAAUUUUUUAAGUUUUUAUUCUACUCUCCAUGGUUAUUAAGGAAAAAUUCUCAAAAAUGAAAUGAGAUAAAUUAAAUUUUUGUCUUUUUACUUGACUUAGAUUUUGUAUUAUGCUUACUAAAGUUGAUGAAUUGUUGAAACUUCUAUUGAAUUCAACCUUAAUUCUUCCACUUUAAGCUAUUCACACACUGUGCACAAUAGGUUCUGAUUAUAAGAUGAAGAACUAUUUCCCCCUUAACUUAGGAAAAUUUUAGACUUGGUACCUUUGACCUCAUUUAAUAGUGUUGGGACACCUUAUAAAAGGCCAAUGAGCCUUUGAAAAAAAGAAGAAAGAAAGAAAAAUGUUUACUUGCCUUGAAACCCGAGCAAGGUUUGAGGGGUAUAUGGUGAAAAUCUUAAAAACCUGGUGCCCUAAGCCUUCAGUGGUUGGGAGUCACCGACCUCAAUGCUCGUUACAAGGGUGGAUAGGUGGAGUUUAACAUACUGUAGGUGCUUGGGUAUUAAAAAUUCAUUCUCAAAAGUCCGGGGUAAAAUCCGAGUUAGUGGUUGAAAAAUCCUUAAAGCUUGAUGCCCUAAACCUUAAUUGGUUGGGAGUCAUCGAUGGACCCCCGUUACAUGGACAAUUUAGAAAAGAAUACCUUUAGCCUUGUACUCCUACAAUGAAAAAAAAAUUGUGAAAAAAGAGGUGCGUUCUUAGCCUAUUGGAGGUUGAUUAGUUUGCUAAGCUUUGAAAAAGAACUAGGUUGGGGGAGAGAUUAGUUUAACAUACUAUAUUCAGAAACUAAUAAAUAACACUUAGAUUUUUGUGGAAUAGUAAGGUUUGACCAUCUGGGAGUGGAAACUCUUUUAAAGCUUAAAUUUGCAUAAUGUCGUCUCUAUAAGAAUUGUGAUUAAGACAAGUUAUUUGAUAACUCUUGUUGAAGCUUGAGUUUUAUUUCUUUAAUGUUCCAUGUGAGAGUUAGAUCAUCAUGCCACUUGAAAAUUGUUUUUUGAUCAGCAUGAUGUUGUAAAUUAUAGUACUGUUUAUUUUUAUUUUUUUCUCUCCUUCAUUGCUAAGGGACUAGCAAUAUGUCGGUUGGGGGGAGUGAUUACUACUCAAAAAGUGCUAUUUCAUAGCUUGUAAUAAACUCUUUUAAACACUUUUGAGUAGUAGUUAUCACCUUUUAACCCAAUUAACAUCUUAAGGACCCUUGCAAUCAAUUCUAAUCAAAUUGUGUUAAGUUUUGGUGUUUUGAUAGCUUUUUUAUCACCAAAGCAAUCAGAGAUUGAGGAGAGUUCUUUAGAAUCCAUGACAAAAGAUGUUCGGACAGGGCGUCCGGACACACCAUUGGAGAGCAGCGGAGCGUGGGCUGUAGAAAGGCUUGCUCACUGUAGUCAAUGAUCCGGACAACAUAUCCGGAUAGGAUAUGCUAUCAUCCGGAGUGUGAUGUUCGUGAGUGCCGGAUAGCAUGGCGGCGCAUGUCCUCUUGGGGAAUCCGGAUGAAGUUGAGUCGGAUGGGUCCCUACACCUUACACACGCAGACAGUCCCUCUUGCGCAGCAUAGCUCAGUCCACCCGGGGAGGAAUUCUGUGCGCCAACAUUUCACAUCCGGAAUUCCGUGCGCCGACAUUUCACAUCCGGAAUUCCGUGUGCCGACAUUUUACAUCCGGAUAUCUCACAUCCGGAUGGGAGAGGAAGACGCUUCAACUUCUCCGGAUAUACAUAUCCGGACCUUUUGAUAACGCUUACCCACAGAGUUCUUCUCUCAGUAUACAGUGCAGCGGUGUUCUCCUGAAGCUUCCUGAUAUUUCCGACCGACAUUUUGAGAUAUUUUGGGAUAUUUUUCUUUAGAUAUUUGUUGUCUAAAUCCCCAAACUCUCCUUGUAAUCCACCUAUCAUAGGAUUCCUUAGUCUUUAAGCAAGAAAAAGGGUGAAUAACCUCAUAUAUAUAGUUUGUAAUUUUCUUUACAAAGAGAAUUAUUAUGUAAUCAGCAGAAGGAAGAAAUAUAUUUUACAGAGCACUUGCUCUGUUUUUCCUUCUUAUAAUUGUUUUCUCGUUAGUUUUCUUACUAGCCAAACAAGCUCUGAGGAAGUUUCCUCAGAGAAUGAGUGGCUAGACUUUUAGUUCCUUGGAGUUAAGGUUGCCGGGAAAGGUUCCAAGUGCAUGAAUUAGUAGCUUUGUGGUUUCAGCCAUUAAUGGAGAGAAAGUGUGAUCCUUUAAUGAUUUCUAUGUUUUUAGUUAACUUAAAACACUUUCAAUUCACUUGAGCCAACACUUGGUAAGGCAAGUGAGCUCCGUCCAUGGAGAUGCACUAGUUUACCUCUUGCGAGCUUUUGGGAAGUGACUUGGAGGUAGGAUUUUCUAGAAUUGCCAACACUUGGUAAGCUUUUGGACUCCAAGGAGACAUCCAUUAGUUAUCUCUUGCGAGCUUGAGAAGGGAAGUCCAAAGUUAAAGAUCACCUUGAAUGGCAAAUGCUAGGUGAGAGGCACGAGCCAUUGCAAGUUGCAUCAGUGAGAGGGAAUUAGAGCUGAAAUCCAUUUAAAUGAUACAUCUGUACAGCACUGGUUAGAGAAUUGACUAUAUGUUAAUUCUCUAAUGUGAGGAAAUGAACCAAAUGACCGGAGCUCUGUUUUUGCAUAAGGAACCUCCCCUGUGAACCUAAACCUCCAAGGAAUGUUUUUCUUCAUAAGUAAUUUCUAUUACUUUCUUUUUAGUUAGCUUUAAACAAAACCUCAUUUAAACAAAGUUUGUGUUUUAUUUCUUAAGCUAGCCUUGAAAUGAAAAAGCACCAAUUUACUUUGAAUUGGUAUCAGUUGUGAGUUGAAAGCCCUUCCUAGUGAACGAUCCUAGAGCCACUAUGCUAUAUUAGCUAAGCUAUCCUAAUGCAUGGUGAUAUAGGUUAUAAAUUUUGUUGAUUACUCUCUCAAUCAAAGAGCACCAGCUGGACAUGAAUCAACUGAGACACCAAUUGGGAAGGAAUCAGGAGGUGUGACCUGGGAUGCCAAUGGUCACGUUGUCGGUCUUGAUCUGAGUAGCGAAUCAAUUUCUGGUGGAUUCAAUAGCUCUAGUAGCCUUUUCAAUUUACAAUAUCUCCAGAGCUUGAAUUUGGCUGGAAACAGCUUCUGCGGAGGAUUGAACUGGCCUAACAACAACUUCUGCUCUUCUCAAAUUCCAUCAGGAUUUGACAGGCUUGCUAAUUUAAUUUAUCUGAAUUUAUCCAAUUCUGGCUUUUCUGGGCAGAUUCCAAAGGAAUUUUCGCUCUUGACUAGGUUGGUUACCAUCGAUUUCUCCAGCCUUGGUUAUCUCAUUGGAUUUCCUACACUGAAACUUCAGAAUCCAAAUCUGAGAAUGUUGGUUCAGAAUAUCAAGGAGCUUAGGGAACUUCAUCUUAAUGGUGUAGACAAUCAGCCGAGGGGAAGGAGUGGUGCCAGGCAUUGUCAUCUUCAGUGCCUAAUCUCCAAGUGCUUAGCUUGUCCAGCUGUCAUCUUUCAGGCCCAAUCCAUUCUUCCCUGCAGAAGCUUCGAUCUCUCUCAAGGAUUCGUCUGGAUGACAACAAUUUUGCUGCUCCAGUUCCACAGUUCCUCGCUAGCUUCUCAAAUUUGACUCACUUGCAGCUCAGUUCUUGUGGAUUAACUGGAACGUUUCCAGAAAAGAUCAUUCAGGUAACAACCCUACAGAUUCUUGAUUUGUCAAUUAACUUACUUGAAGAUUCUUUGCCAGAAUUCCCUCAAAAUGGAUCUCUAGAAACAUUGGUGCUUUCGGAUACAAAACUUUGGGGGAAACUACCCAACUCCAUGGGAAAUCUUAAGAAGCUGACUAGCAUAAAGCUGGCACGUUGCUAUUUCAGUGGCCCAAUCCUAAACUCAGUGGCAAACCUUCCUCAACUGAUUUACUUGGACUUGUCUGAAAAUAAGUUUUCCGAUCCAAUUCCAUCUUUUAGUUUGUCCAAGAGACUCACCGAAAUAAACCUUUCCUACAAUAAUUUGAUGGGUCCAAUUCCUUUCCACUGGGAAAAACUUGUUAAUUUAAUGAAUCUUGACCUGCGGUACAAUGGAAUUACAGGAAAUCUCCCCCCGUCCCUGUUUUCCCUCCCAUCCUUGCAGAGGUUACGACUAGACAACAACCAAAUUUCUGGUUAGUUCAAAAUUCUUUUAAAUGCAUCUUCUUCUAGAUUGAGCACCCUUGGUUUGAGUAGCAACAAUCUCGAAGGCCCGAUACCUAAUUCUGUCUUUGAACUGCGGUGUCUUAGCUUCCUUGACCUAUCUUCCAACAAAUUCAAUGGAAAGAUUGAACUCAGCAAGUUUAAAAAACUUGGGAAUCUUACUGAUCUUAGCCUUUCAUACAACAACCUGUCCAUCAAUGCAACCCUUUGUAAUCUGUCCCCUUCUAUACUGCCUAUGUUUACAACAUUAAGGUUGGCUUCUUGCAGGCUGACAACUUUACCUGAUCUUAGCGGCCAGUCAAGCUUGACACAUUUAGACCUUUCCCAAAACCAAAUUCACGAGAACAUACCUAGUUGGAUUUGGAAGAUUGGUAAUGGCUCUCUUGUGUAUUUGAAUCUCUCUCAUAAUUUACUGGAGGAUCUCCACGAACCUUUCUCUACUUUUACUCCUUAUCUGUCCAUCCUUGACCUACAUUCCAACCAGCUCCAUGGCCAAAUCCCCACUCCUCCCAUAUUUUGCAGCUAUGUGGAUUACUCGAACAACAGUUUCACCUCCUCCAUCCCAGAAGAUAUUGGUACUUACAUCUUCUUCACUAUUUUCUUCUCUCUUUCUAAGAAUAACAUCACUGGAAUUAUCCCUGCAUCAAUCUGCAAUGCCAGUUACCUGCGAUUUCUUGACUUUUCUGACAACGCUUUGAGUGGAAUGAUACCCUCAUGUUUAAUUGGGAACGAGAUUCUUGAGGACCUGAAUCUACGGAGAAACAAGUUAAGUGCCACUAUACCUGGGGAAUUUUCGGGAAACUGUCUUUUACGGACUCUAGAUCUGAAUGGGAAUCUCUUAGAAGGAAAAUUCCAGACUCUCUAGCCAAUUGCAAAGAGUUAGAGGUUUUAAACCUUGGGAACAAUCAGAUGAGUGAUUUUUUUCCUUGCUCGUUGAAGACCAUAAGCAGUUUGUGCGUCCUUGUUCUUCGAUCCAACAGAUUCUAUGGACCCAUUCAAUGUCGACCAUAUAGCAAUCCCACCUGGCCACUGCUUCAAAUUAUGGACCUUGCUUCCAACAAUUUUAGUGGUGACUUGUCAGGAAAAUUCUUUUUAACCUGGAAGGCAAUUGUGGACCCGCAUUUUUCACGUGCGUCCCCACUCGAUCGGCGAGACUCGCUUUUUAUUAGUGAAAAAUUGAUUUUUGAAAAAAAGUUGGAGUCGCCACUUAUUUUAUUUUUAUUUUAAAGGGAAAAUAAAACAAGAAAGAAAAACCCUAAAAAGUGACUCCAUAGUUUUGGAAAAAGCAUGUCUUUGAGAAACCCGAGUCUAAGUCCGGGGAUCAGGUUACUUAUUGGGAAGGUACCUCUAGGAGGUAGCACCCCUCUAAGCCCUAUAAAGGUCUCUACUGACAAAGUUAAGGGAAGUGUGGCAAUUAAUCAGUUAAUUAUAGAUACCUAAAUAGGCUGGGUGAUUUUAAAGAGUGGCAUGCCAAACACAAUCAAAUUGCAAUAAAGGAGAGUUAGGGUGCGUACCAGAACCGCUCUUCAAGCGCUAUCAUAAAACAUAAAAGUUAGUGUAGAAUUGUAGCACACAACAUUUGUUUUAUUCAAGCAAAUCAGGCAUAUAUCAAGAUAUCCAAGAAUCACGUCAAAUAUGGAUAUAGUCAUCAAUGGCAUACAAAUCCAUAGAGUUCUAAAAAAUAGAUGAGAAGAGAGCGUACCUGGAUAGCAAGCUAGUACUCCUCUAUGGGAAUCAAGAGCAUCUCAACAAUAAAUACGAAACAAAUUCAUGUAUAUCAUCAAGAAUAAUCAAAAAUCAACAUAUCAAGCAAACAAUAUUGAAGAAGGUAUCAUGAAUGUCGGGCCCCCACCAAAGCCCUAAUUGCUUUCGCACAAAUUGAUUCAACCAGUCCUAUUAUUUAGAACCAUGAAGUUUAUUUGCGCUUGUUGAAAAUCGAGAAAACCAUGAAAAUAGUUGAAAAUCCCAAAAGAUGCAUGUUUGAAUGAAAUAUGGGAGCAAGGGUUUUUAAAACUGAAUUUUCUCAACCUGAAAUCCUCCAAUGAUGAAAUUAAAAAAAGAAUAAUAGCUUUGAUGGAAAAGAGAUUUAAAAAAAAACGUGAUUCAAAACAUGUAAGAUCACAAGGAAAUAUCAAAACAAUAAGGGAACGGUGCAUCAAGAUGGCCACUGUAUGAGUGAGGUCUGGGGGUGUGAUUGAGACUACUUCGCUAAAUUUGAAGAUGAUUUCCUUAAUUCCAUUCUGCUGCAACGUUCUGAUAUGCCUCAAUAAUUCAGGCACAUUCAUCUCCUUGGCCAUCUGAAACAAGCUCCAUGGUUUGCAGAUAAUUAUAAGUCUCAUGAAUGCAGGAGUAAUCAUUACCUAUUUCCAGUAAUUAACAUAUUUAACACCCUGUUCACGAGUCAUGCAACCUGGUUGAUCCACCAGAUUGCAAAGAAUUGAUGCAAAGUAAAUUCUAUGAGGAACAAGUGAGUGUCACGAUUCUCAAUUUUUGAAGCUUCAAUCACAGACUACACAAAUAGUUGACUUUCACUAAGUUCAUCAUCAUCAUCAUCCACACAACCAGGUUGUUGUUUCAAUUCAGUGUCAAGUUGCUGAAUCUUCUUCUGUUUUAGCCAUGUAGGAAGCCUUUUCGAUUGUAAAUCCGGAAUGACAUCAAGUUUAAUCUCCAAUUCUGAACCCUCAAGGUACAGUUUCUUCAUUGAGCCUUUAUUACUUUUCCUUUACUGAUAUUACAGUAGUUCAAUUCAGGCAGCCAACUUAGCUAAACACUCACAACCUCGAAUUCAAAGACGGCACAAUUGGCUCAUAGUAAAAAUCAUCCCUUCCACCGAACUCCUAUGGCGCGGCUGGUUGUUUGAGGUGUAUCUAACCACUUUCAAAAUCACUUCCAUCAGCAGUCCCAAAUUAAUCACUAUGAGACUCCUUAGUGAGUUCAGGGAAUAACCCACCUUAGUGGGGAGUACAUGCACUUACCAUGCGCACACCACGUGGAUGUGCUCAUUGUGUCAAGGCGACUUUCCACUGACAUUUUGGCUUGAGAUUUAACAUGUAUUAGGCGCUGACUUCAUAAGCAAUGCCAUGUAAGAAUAUCUUUAACCAUUCAGGAGUGAUAGGUGGACAUUGGAAGGAGUUUGUAAUGCUGGAGGCAACAUCGACUUAUACAUCUGAUUGGCCGGCGAGUGGCUUCUCCAUCUUCUAAUUCUAAAUCCAUAGAACUUUCAGAAAACGUGCUGAAAUGGUGUUAGUGAGUGCACGACAGCAAGAAGAAGCAUUACAUAUGUCACCUUUCUCCCAAGCUGUUCAUCGGCAGUUUGCUCCAUGACCUGAGUAUGUCUUCUUUUCCUCAGGUAUUCCAAUCAUCUUUCAAUUCAGCUGGCUCAUGAUCAACAAAAUCUGGGUCUCUUGUUCUUUAGGUCGAUAUCGUUAACCAUGACAUGGGAAUAAACUCAUUUGGAGGUGAGUUUGUUUCGUCUGCAAUACCAGGGAACAUGAUUGAUCCACCACUGAGCACAACACUGCCAUAGUAGUUCUUAUCCUAAAAUGGUUGUUGUUGUCAUGAUUGCAAAUUUAAUUUCAAAUGGAAACCUAGAUGGGUGUACAGCCUUGAAUGAUUGUGCCAUGAUUCAGGAUUACAAGGACACUACUAAAGCACUUUAAAGACGGACCAUUCUUCACAUUCUCAUUGCAUGUAGCAGCGGCUUGAUUAGAUGCACGAGCAAUAGAGGCAGGGUGUUUCUGCUAAACAUAAUCUUGUCAUCACAAGCGCAUGGAGCCAAGAGAGCACCAACUUAGGAUUCCAAUCAAGUCAGAAUAUUAAGAGUACCAGGUGGCAGGCUCACCUCCAUGCACACAUUAGCUAGUUUCUAAACAAAUCACAGAAGCCAUCUCAGAUGACUUUAAUAUUGCCAUGCACCCAAUUAACUAAGGCAAGAGCCAUUUUCCGCAUAACUGUCCCCUGUCCCCUGUCCUCUUCAAGUUAUUAGAAGUCUUUUCCUACAUCUUUAAUUGUCCACACCAUGUCGAGGAAGACUAAAGGCAACUAGUCAAUUUAGAAGCAAAUUCCCAUGCAUUAGUUCUUUCUGGCUCAUCAAGCCAUCAACACCUCAACUUUCUAUAUUGUAAAAACCACCCAAAUUAUCUAUAUCCUGCUGCCUUGUGAAGAGAGGACCCCCAGUCCACAAACUUGAAGGAGAAAGAGAGCACAUAAGUCACUUUCCAUUGUAACUCGUGACAAUAUUGUUGAUUUUUGAAUUCAGAAGGGGUGUCAUCAGAUUGAAUGCGUCUGCUCCCAUGUAUGACCCACCAUUUCAAUUUUGUUGACAAGCUCCAAUAACAAUUGAGAUCUAACUCUCUGAGCCUUUACAUCAUGCUGUCCACAAGCAUCCUUCAGAAACCUAAUCAGUGGUUCAAUAAAAUUCUUAGAUGAUAGCGAAUGCCAAAGUUGAUCAUCACCCUUCAAGUCUUUUUCUGCAUCUUCGAUCACCUGGCAUUUAGGACUUCUGUGGAUGUGUAUCAAGUUCAGAUAAAAACUUCAAAUCUGUCUCAGGUUUAUCAGCAUACCAUGACAUCUGCGAGAUUCAUUACUAGUCUUCACGGAAAUCAAAUUUGAGCCAUCUCUGAUUUUAAUGCAUGAUGAGCCUGAACUGUGACGGUUAUCUAAAGAUUCAAGUGAUAUACUGUUGAUAUCUAUUGGCGGAUGUAGAUCAUUCAUAGAAAUUAUGAGGCUUGCGAUAGAGGUAGAACAAAAUUCCCAUGUGUUAUGUGCUGGUGGUUCUACACGUGGGCCAAGUUUGGAGAUUCCAUGCUCCAACAGUAUCCAGAAGAGUCACCACAAAUAAGCACCAGAAACAGGGGAAGGUAUCCAAAAACAGAGCAUGAAGAAUAGAAACAAAAGGAACCGAUAAAAGUCGUGUUUCAUGUUUUGAAUCAACGGUUUAAACAGGUGGGCGAAACCAAACACAUUUCAAAUAGAAAUCAAUACAUGAUCGCAGGCAUCUAACAGAGAAACUAAAGCAGUACCAAACCAAUCUUAACAAAACCCAAAAGAAAGUGAAACAUGAACACACUAUAAUCCAAUCCAAAGAAUAGCAAAGAAGCCAAAUGCAUGACAGGAUAUCCAUGCCCAAAAUCAACAACAAGCAAAUAGGUCUCUGAUGACCGCACUAAAGCAUCAGACAAGUCUCAAUAAUAGCAAACAAAAUAAGUGUACAAAGGAGCAGUGAUUUUACAAUGAAGAACUUACCUUUAAGAAUAUGCAAUCUGAUAGAUCUCCUCUGUUAUACUCUUCUUUCUGUUCUGCCCCUCUGUCUGUUCUUUUUUGUCCUGCUCUUCUUUCUGUUCUGCCCUUCUCUCUGUUCUCUUUUUCUGUUCUGCUCUCCCUUUUUGUUCGUUCUCCAUGCCUUCAUAGAGAUUCUCCCAGAAAUCUCCAGGCUGCUCUUUUGGAAAGUCCCUCAUCAUUCCUUCUUCGAAUGUGUGUUGGCCCUCCAAUCCUGCAGUACCCCUGUGUGUCCUCUUCGUAUAUAGAAGGCUGAUUCUUUUAAGCAUGGCGACGUGUUGUCUCUUUGGAAAGUCUUGCUACCCUCAGACUCAUGGAGAAUCAAAUCCCACCCAUCACUCGUGCUUAUUUUUGGAAAAUCCUUUUUUUCAUUUUUUUUUUUUAUAUGUACGUUGUAAUGUCCAAAAAGUCCAUAGGGUGCAUGCUGUGUUUGGAGAUAAUCUCCUCUUUCCAUCUAGGCGCAACCGGCAUCCCUUUUCUUCCAUGUAUGUACGGCCUUCCAUGUGUGGUCCGGAAUUUUGCAUGGAUUCUCCAUUACACAACCACCAGGAUCUCAUGCAAAAAUAUAAAAAUUCGAAUCAAGACUCACGCAAUCUCCUAGACGAACUCGGUUGCACUUGCUCCUUUCCUGCUCCUUUGUGCUUUCUCCUCAAAAAUCCUCAGAAUUUCUCCCAAUCCUCCAAUGCGUGCUUCCACCAAGAUAACCGAAGAAUUCUUAUAGUACCCCUGAUUCAAACCACCAGAUUUACUGAAGAAGGGUCACCCUGGCUAGCAGCUGUACGUGUUGCAUAAUCUGAAGUUCCUUGCAUGUAGUGGACACCAUGCGAUUCCAUGUAUGAGUGAAGGUCAGAGCCCACCCAAUUUCCACUUCGUCUCAAAACUCUGACCAUCUCCACUACCACUCAAAGCUGGACCUUUGAGUAAAGACUGGCAGAGGCUUGGCUGCAAUCUCCUUUUUCCCGCUCUUGUGCACCUUUCCACCCCUCUCAAUCCUCCAAUGUGUGCUUCCCUUGAAUUCUCCCUAAAAAAAAAUCCUCUUUUGCCCGGUCACUCAUUCUUCCUUCCUCCUUCCGAAAAACCUAAAUCUCCUUAAAAAAAAGCCAAAUCUCCUAUUUUCUCUCUUCUUUUCUCCUUAUCCUUUUUUAAAUCUUCCAAUUCAAAAGCAAUCUUCCCAACUUCAAAUUCUCCUCCAAAACCUUCCAAGGAGAGUCCCACUUUCCUUAAACUCCAAUGGUAAGUUUCCUUGCAAAAACAUGAAAUUUUAAAAGUUAAAUAAUUGCAUGAAUAGAUAAAUAAGUAAAUAAAUUAGAAAAUGGUAAAAAUAAUAAAUAAAUAAAUAAGUUAAGGAAAAUAAUAUAAAGAGGAAAAUGAAAUAAAAUAAAAUAAAAAUAAACAAAUUAACAAAAAAUGGGCCCUACGAGCCAUGCAAACAUGCAAACCAUGCAAAAACAUCUAAAGGUGACCUAGGGUGUGUCCUAGUGCGCUAGGGCAAACGAAGUGGACUAAGUGUGCUUAAAAGCUAUCCUAAAAAAAACAAGAAAAGCCUAAGUCUAAGUUAGGGCUGCCAAGGGUCACAAUAAGGGAUCAAAUAAUCCCUCAACCAAAAUCUCCAAGGUGGCUUAGAAAAAGGUAAGUCGUACGAGUAGUAAUGGGCCACCAAGAAACUAUUGUGGAGCACUGAACACGAAUUUAAAGACAUGUGUUAAAGGGACAAAAUUGAGGGUCUACAGCAAUGAGGGCUGAUAAAGAUGGAGCCAGGUCAGAGCUCAAUCACCUACAACUUCAGGUACUACAAUUCAGCCAAGUGUACUAUCAGGAUACGGUGACUGUCACUAGCAAAGGCCUAGAAAUGCAGCUUGUGAAGAUUCUAACCGUCUUCACUGCCAUUGAUUUCUCCUUCAACAAUUUCCAAUGGGAGAUACCAGAAGCUAUGGGAAGCUUGAUUUCACUUUAUGCUCUCAACCUGUCCCAUAAUGCUUUGACGGGCCAAAUCCCAUCAUCACUAGGGAAGUUGCGGCAGCUUGAGUCAUUGGACCUCUCACAGAACAGCCUUAGGGGGGAGAUACCAGCACAGUUUGUGAGCCUAAAUUUCCUUUCCUUCCUUAACCUCUCCUUUAAUCAACUGGAGGGAGAAAUCCCCACAGGUACUCAACUUCAAACGUUUUUGGAAUCUUCUUAUGAAGGGAACAAAGAACUAUGCGGACCCCCCUUGAAGAGGAAGUGCACAGAUCCAUCCCCACCCACCUAUGAAGAAACACAUCCGGAUUCUGGGAUGAAGAUUAACUGGGUGUACAUAGGUGCUGAAAUUGGAUUUGUCACCGGUAUAGGAAUUGUGAUUGGGCCUCUUGUGUUAUGGCGAACGUGGAGACGAUGGUACUACACACAUGUGGAUAGACUUCUUUUGAGGAUUCUCCCGCGUCAAGGCGAAGGAGUUCAUGGCAGGAGACGUCAUAGAAGUCAGGGACGGAGACUCUAGCACCAGAAAGGUGGCGCAGCUAGAGUUUGUUCUAUGGAAGGAAAAAUAAAAACUAAAAAGUAUGUUCAUUGCUAGGAUUUCUGUGUUUUUUUACCUUAAAAAUUGGAAGUACGUUGUUUUUGAAUAAUAUCUUUCAAUUAUUUUAACUUAUUUUAAAAAAUAAUUAUACAAAUAUGAACAAAAAUUAAAAAUAAAAUAAUACUGUAGACCCCCAUUUUGGGGGGCAUCUUUUUGCAAAUUAUUUAUGUUGGUGGAGGGCUCUUAACGAGCCACAUGUUGCCCCAAGUUUGGUCUUUAGAGAAUCAUGUUAGUGGUUUGAAGAAGCAAUGGGAGGGCGACACGUGUCAUGGGAAUAUUCAGAAACAAUUUUUUUUUUAGGGAUUUGGAGGAGCAUAUAUUUGAUAUAGAGACAGGGAGGCCGUUAAGGAAGGGGAGAUAUUUGGUUGCUGUUACAGAGAGGUAUAGGUAGCUUGGGAGGCAAGACUGAGGAGGCAUGUUUUUUGGGGUUGCUUAGGAGAGAGGGAUACCUGGGGGGAUUCUCUCUGGAGGAGGUUACAGAGGAGUGUUUUUUUUAGUAGCUUGAGAGAGAAGACAAUUGGAGAGAAGACCAUUUGAGCUAGAGAAUGGGAGGAGGAGAAUCGAUUGAGCUUGGAAGGGAGAACUGGUCAGAGAGAGGAGGAAACACACAGAAGAAUCGUCUUGAAAGAGGGUGACACAGUAAAUCGGCCCAUCACUCAGGUACACUCCUUGCCUAUCUUGUUUAUUCGGUUAUUUUGUUUUGAUUGAUAUUCAUUCGGUAUCCAUGUUUGAUCAAUCAAUUGUCAUACUUGCUUCAGCUCAUUAGUAGAGACCCGUUUUUAGGGACUUAGAAGGGUGUUACGAUCUUUACCGUACCUUCCCAAUAAGUAACCUAACCCCCGAGCUCAAACUUGAUUUUUCACAGACCACCUUUUCCAAAAUAAAGAGUCACACUUAGGGUUUUCUUUCUUAUUUUGUUUACCCUUUAAAAAUAAAACAAAAAUAAGUGGCAACUCCAAGUUAUUUUCUUAAAAAAUAAAUAAUUUUCAAAUAAAAAGCGAGUUUUCCAUCGAGUGGAAGCGCAUGAGCAUAAAUACGAGGUCCACAAAUACACACUUAGGGUUUUCUUUCUUCAUUUUGGCAUUCAAAGCCACAUCUUCAUUUUGGCGUUCAGAGCCACCAUCCCUUUUUAAUUUGGCAUUCAGAGUCACUAUCUCUUUUUUCGAUUUGGUGUUCAAAGUCGCAUCUUCAUUUUGGCGUCCAGAGCCGUUGUUUGCUUCUAGUUCAGUAUUCAUAGCCAUCAUACCUCUUUUUCGGUUUGGCAUUCAGAGUCGUAUCUUCAUUUUGGCAUUCAAAGCAGUUGUUCAGUUUAGUUCGGUAUUCAAAGCCACACCUUCAGUUCGGUGUUUAGAGCUGCAUUUUCUGUUUGGCAUCCAGAGCCGUUGUUCAUUUUCAAUUUGGUGUUCAGAGCUGUCGUUUAUUUCUAGUUCGGCAUUCAGAGUUGUCGUUUGUUUUUUUAGUUCAACAUUCAGAGUCGUCAUGUCUUUCUUUAAUUCGUCGUUCAGAGUCACAUCUCUAGUUAGGCGUUCAGAGCCGCAUCUUCCGUUUGGCGUUCAAAGUCAUGUCUUCAGUUCAACAUUCAGAGUCAUUAUUCAUUAUUGACAUUCAAAGCCAUUGUUUCAUUCAGGCAUUUGAUGCCACCAUUUUUCUUUAGUUUUGGUGUUCAGAGCCAUUAUGCAUACUCAUUCAGGCAUUUGAUCCCAUCAUCAUUCUUUAGCUUUGGGGUUCAAAGUUGUUGUGCAUACUCGUUUAGGUAUUUAGAGUCACCAUUCUUUCAUCCCUUUUGGCAUUCAGAAUCAUUUUCCUCACCUUGUUACCUUGUGCUUAUUGCUUGUUCAUCAUGGUCUUCUAGACUUCCCCUUCCACUACACAUGACAUAGUCCUUUGAGUUCGCGACACAUAUUUUGGUCAUGUUGUUGGGCACCCCACAUUUAGCGUUCUCAUGUAGCUCACAUAGGGCGGUCUCCUUUGAGCACAUUCUUUUCUGUACUCCAGGAUGGUUCGACCAUUGCUCAUCUUUGACAUUGACCUUCAAGUCACUUUUGGAGACGUCUUAGAUGGAGUUUGGAUCCUUAAUGCAACUUUAGAGGCACAUUGAGACAUGUUUUUCUCUUAGGAUUAGAGUCAUUUUGUUCAUCUAUUGGUCUAAGUGAGUUUGUGUUUUGCAAAUGUCCCUUUGGGGGUCUCCUUGGUUCUUCAAUAGAGUUCACUUCAUUCCACUCAUUAUGCACAUUUUCUUUUCACCUUAGUGUUCAUAUUCCUUACACUCGUGAGUUCUAUCGAAGAGGGGCAUAUUUGUAGGCCCCCUUUUUGGGGGCCAUUUUUUUGAAAAUUAUUUCUGUAGGUGGAGGGCUCUUAAAGAGCCACAUGUUGCCCCAAGUUUGGUCUUUAGAGAAUCAUGUUAGUGGUUUGAAGAAGCAAUGGGAGGGCGAUACGUGUCAUGGGAAUAUUCAGAAACAGUUUUUUUGAGGAUUUGGAGGAGUGGAUUUUUGAUAUAGAGAGAGGGAGGUCGUUAAGGAGGGAGAGAUAUUUGGUUGUUGUUACAUAGAGGUAUAGGUAGCUCGGGAGGCAAGACCGAGGAGACAUGUUUUUUCGGGUUGCUUGGGAGAGAGGGAUACCUGGGAGGGGACUCUCUGGAGGAGGUUAUAGACAAGUGUUUUUUUUAGUAGCUUGAGAGAUAAGACAACUGGAGAGAAGACCAUUUGAGCUAGAGAAAGGGAGAAGGAGAAUCACCUGAGCUUGAAAGGGAGAACUGGUUAGAGAGAGGAGGAAACACACAGAAGAAUCGUCUUGAAAGAGGGUGACAUAGUAAAUCGGCCCAUCACUCAGGUACACUCCUUGCGUCUCUUGUUGAUUCGAUUAUUUUGUUUUGAUUUAUAUUCAUUCGGUAUCCAUUUUUUAUCAAUCAAUUUCCAUACUUGCUUCAUCUCAUUAAUAGAGGCCCGUUUUUAGGGACUUAGAGGGGUGCUACGGUCUUUAUCGUACCUUCCCAAUAAGUAACUAGACCCUCGAGCCUAGAUUCGGUUUUUCACAAACCACCUUUUCCAAAAUAAGGAGUCACACUUAGGGUUUUCUUUCUUAUUUUGUUUACCCUUUAAAAAUAAAACAAAAAUAAGUGGCGACUCCAAGUCAUUUUCUUAAAAAAUAAAUCAUUUUCAAAUAAAAAGCGAGUUCACCAUCGAGUGGAAGCGGAUGAGCAGAAAUACGGGGUCCACAAAUACAUAUUAAAUUUAUUUUUAAAACAAAUUUAAAAAUAUAGCAAACGGUUUAAAAACAUUUCAAAUUCUCAAAUACACUUUUGUUAAUCUACUAAACAUUAAAUAACAUAUUUAAAAAAUUGUUCUCAAAAACUCUUUUAGAAUACACUUCUCACUCAAAACCUAAUAAACUAAGAAUAUCAAUAACAAAAUAUCAAUAAAAAUAUUUAAAUAAAAUAUGGAGAAAUCCUAUUCAAAAAGUAAAGUCAUGUUUAACAACUAUUUUCUUAAAACAGUUUUUUUUUUAUUCAGAAUAAAAAAUAGGAAAACAUGUUUGAGAACUAAAAAUCAUAAUAUGGUUUUCUAUUAUUAAAAGCAUGAAAUGGUGUUUUCAAGUAACAUCUUUAAAAUUUUAAGAGAUUAUCGGAUCAUGUCAAAAGGGUUUAGCUAGAAUAAUCUAGGAAAUUUUACUCUAAGGUACUUCUUCAAAUGCUCAUCAUCAUUGAAUCCCAUGAUUCCAAUUCUACAAUUGUAAGAGUGCGUUUGAGAGUGAUUUUAGAAAACGUUUAUAGUAUUUUCAACAUUUAAAUGAUAAAAAAUUUCAAAUAUUAAAAAGAUUAAAAACGUUUCCUAGAAUUAUUUUCAAACGGACUGUAAAUCCUUUUCUGGUUAUGUAAAUGAAAUAUACAAAUAUAAUAGUCGGAGACUAAAGACAAAAUGUUGUUUUAUAUAUACAUAUAUAACCGAAAUACAUGAAACUUGUAGUCUGAUUUUUCCAAUGGAAGGAGACAGUUCCACCAUUAUAUUGAUUUGGUAAUCAUUUCGAAAUAUAAUUUAACUCAUGCUUUGAAAUGCAAGAAACUAAGAAAUUAAACUGAAAUCUAAUAGAAUUAAAAUAAGAGAAGUUAACAAUACCCAUCCACCCAUUUUUAUUUUAUUUUUCUUGUUAAGUCCUCAGCUUUCCUCUUACUUCAUGCUUUUUCUUUCCCCAUGUUAAGAGACAAUUUAACAUCUAUUGAAAUAGUAUGUUGGAAGAUGGUUGAACACUUGUGAGAGAUAGUUAAGUACUACAAAUUAAAUAUAAUAGCAGAAAUUCAUCAAUGCAAACUAUUUUAAGGAUGUGCCAAAUUUCGUGAAAGAUGUAUCAAAUUUUGUAAAGGAUGUACCAAAUUGUCCUUAGGAUGUACCUUGGGUUCCAAUGUUCGUUUCAAGGUGGGGAACAACCUCCAAUUCCUUCUCGAGGGUCCCCAAAGGAAUAUAUGAACCAUAAGAAUGGAGAUAGGGGUCUUGGUUCCUCUAAGAAUGGAUAUACCUAGGAUUGCAAAGUUUGUUUUAGGGUGGGCGAGUACCUCCAAUUACUUAUCAAGGGUCCCAAAGGAAUAUAUACACCAUAAUAAGUAUGAUAAUGGUUCUAGUUCUCCUAAGCAUGAUUUACCUAUUUUUUUAAGGAUGCACCUAUUUUUUUUAUGAAAUUAAUAUAAAAGGUUAAAUACAAUUUUUUAUGAAAAAUAUAUUUUCUUUUAUAUUUUAUUUUAAUUAAAAAUUAAAGAUUUUAACCAAACAAAAAGUUAGAUCUACAAUCAAAUUAAAAUCAUAAGAAAAAUGAUAAAAGCAUCAUCACUUAUUGUGAUUUUGAUAUGAUAAAUUUAAAAUGAAAAUUAAAAGAAAAAUAGUGUAAAUAAUAAAAUAGUAUUACAAAGAUAUUUUUAUUUUUACAUGUGAUAGAAUUUACAAAAUAAAUAAAUCUUUUGUUGAGUAUUAAUAUAAAAAAUCUUAUAUCAUAAACUUCUAAAUAAUAAAAUAGAAUUUUUAAAUUUAAACCUUAAUUUAUCAAAUGUAUUAUUAUAAUUAAUAUUUAAAAUCAUCAAGUAUAUUAUUUGUGUGAUAAUAUUUUCAUUUUUGUCCAUUAUAUAUUUUUGUUUUUAUUUAAUUUGUUAUAUUAAUUAUUUAUUAUAUAUUAUCAUUUUAAGUUUAAUAUGUCAAAAAAAUAAUUAAAAUCAAUAAAUAUGAAGAAAUUAGAGAGUAAAGAAAAAUUAAAAUUAAAGAAGUUUUAUGAGAAAAUACAUGAGCAUAUUAAAAAGAAUAUAAAAUAAAAAGAGAAAAAUAAUAAUAAAAACUAUAAUAGGUGGCAAUAGAUUAUGGUGGGAAGAGAGGAAAAAAAGAGAAAAAAAAAAAAAGGAAAAAAGUGGGAAUGUGAUCAGAUAAGCUAGAUAUAUUAAUGGGAGAGAAAUAAUAAAAAUAAAUGACACAUGUAUUUAUCGUGGUAUUAAAUGAAUAGAUAAUAUUUUUUUCCUAUUUUACACAAAAUGUCAAAAGGAAAAAGUAAAGUUAUAAAAUCUCAUUGUAGACCCCUUCUUGCAAGACCAAGGUGUUAUUUUUAUUUUAUUUAGCUGCCACCACCCGAGGAAGGGGGUUUUUCUUUUUUUUGGUAGGAUGGGGGGACCCCUUUUCUGAAAGGAGAGCAGCUUCAUAGACACGGCGAGAGACGUGGGCGGCUUGCUGAGGUGAGGAACAGUAGGGCAAGUAGUGGCUUGCCAAAGAAGAUAGAAAAAAGGGGAAAAAUGGGGAAAAAGUGGCAGGCGGGUUCUGGGAGGAGAAAAAGAAAAAGGAGAUCCGGAAAGAAUCUGAGGAGAAAGCAAGCCGUUUUACCCUCACUUGAGGACUCAGGUAUGACCAUUAUGAGCGUUCUUACUUUAUAUCAUUUGGUUUUCCUCUCUUCACAUCGUUGAUCUUAGGCAGGGUUUGAUGGUUUUUGUUAUCAUAUUCAUUCUAUUAUUUUCUUUCUCUGUUUUCUCUGUUUUCCCUCAAAUGGCUGGGAUAUAGUUUACUUUCUUUGAGUUUGAUGUUCAAUUAAAUAUAUAAUAGCUUACUGCUCAUCCCACCAGUGGGCACUUCGUUUGUUGCUCAUGAAACGAGGUCUUGCUUGAUGAUUUCUUGAUUUCUUACUCUGUUUUAUCUAUUUUCAUCCCCCAUGCUUUUGGGCUCACGUGUGUUUAAUUGUGAAAAUUCCUUGGGCCGUGCAUCACCCUUCGUUGGACUGUGUUUCACCCUCUGAGGAAGCUUCGGCUGCCCCUAAUCUAGAAGCUGUUGAUAAUUCUGGAUACACAUUCGAGCCUCAACGAGGGUAAGGUUGUUGCCUACCCAUCAGAUAUGAGAUACUGUCACUUCAAGAACCGGGUUUGGAUGUUCAGCUGAGAGUGUCAACAGAGGAGAGGAGGCUAACAAUCUGCGUGGGGUUGUUGAUGCUUUUCACUUAAAGCACAGGGAAUAUGCUGAUGGGAUGACACAAAAAUUGGUAGUUGCAUGGAAUGUGAUGAUUCCGGGAAGAUGCCGGAGAUGAUUUUUUUUAUGCAGGCUGUGAUGAAUACCGGGACUGGCGCUAAACGGCUUCGGUGAAGAGGGUCUGAAACUAUCCUAUUGUACAGAGCCAGAGGAUUUUGAGCCAUGUGAUUACGCAUUUGCAGGGGUAAUUAUUGCUCGUGUUUGGUUGGCAGCGUUGAUACGUGGAUGGCAGCUCCAUGCUCAGCUUGUCCAGCCAUGUUUUGAUUCCAUCUUUCCAGCGGGGAAUGCGCUGAUCGUAAUGCAUGCAAGAUGUGGUGUGGUUGAGGCAGCCUAACAAAGUCUUAUUUGGGUCCGGUACCCUAGAACACCAUGAUUGCAGCUUGGGCCAACACGGGCAUGCCACGCUGAUUUAGUUGAAGGGGGACUUGGCCACUUUGAAUCCAUGUCAGGCCUUUAUUGUAUAUGCCCAGGCCCACCCAUUUGAGAGACACUUCUUGCUGGUUGUAGGACUCAUGAGAACAUGAACUGGGGUAUUCCCCAUACGCAUGCAGUGCAUGCAUGUAUAGCUACAUGAAACACUCCACAGCCCGUCCACUUAAGAGUCUCCAUGCCCACAUCAUCUUUCAUGACUCACACUGUUACCACCCCAACCCAUUCAACACCAUGCUCCAUUCAUCUUCAUUAACCCAUCUCUCACUAACUCACCCGUUACGUACCCUCCAUACCCAUUUGGUCACCAUCUUUAGCUCAUGCCUCUCAUACUCACCACGUACCCACCGCCCAUCUCCAUACCCAUCUUUCAUGCAUCCAUGUAAACUCACCACGUUUAUAUAUUCAGCCCUACAUACAUGGUCAUCUCCCAUAGUGCCCUUGUAAACACUCAUCUUCAUACCCAUUUUGUAACCACACCCAUCUCUUGUUCCAUAGACUCACCAAGCCCAUUUUCUUUCACUUUCACUCACCACCUAUUCAUCAUCCGUCCACCUCUCAUCCAAACCCAUUUUCUUAUCACCUUUCUCAUGCUCAUGCUUGCCACCACCUUUCCUCUCUCUACGUUCCCUAUUGCCCAUUUCUCUUUCUAACUCUCCACUCUUCAAACCGUUUCCUCAUCACUCUUUCACCCUCACCACCCAUCAGAAACACCAUCCUCUCAUUCCCAUAAUCUAUUUCACGUGCAUGGAGUCCCAUGCGUGCGGCCACCCCAAGCACCCUCCACGUUUGCUUAACCCAUCUCCUCAUACCCGUCUUCUUUUGAUACCCAUUCUCCAUACAUGCAUGGCUGCCCAAGCCCCCCUCUCCAAAGCUACUUCUAUGACCCCUCAUCUUCUCACUCAGAGUCUCUGUUUCUCGGAUCUAAGCCACGGCCAGUGCGAGAGAGGGAUACACACCGUUGAAGAAAUGGUGAUUUACAUCAUGUGAGCAUCGGGUUUAGAGCUGAAUUUCAUGAAAUGGAGGAAGUUAAUUUCAGCGGUUUGGAGUUAGUAUACCAUGUCAGGCACACCUUUGGAUCAGUCUUCUUGGAUGAUAGUGACAGUCAUGAUCAGCUGAUUGGGGUACUGCACCAUGAGGGACGCCUUUAUCCCUAACGAGGUGGGGCUGUUAGUGACUAGUUCAAAGGCACUAUUUGGAGCAGUUUCUGUGCUCGAUUUGAGGAGGUUGCUGUGGUCGGCAAGCUGUCGGAGCAUGAUGACCCUGAUCUUGGAUAUGAGGCGGCCAAAGGUGAAUGUGUUGAUACGGACAAAAGAUGGAUGAAGGGAAACCCUCAUCCCGGAAAUCGUUACGGGUGCACUCCUGCUGGAUGCCCUGUUCAUAAGUAUAUUGAGACGGCCAUAGAUGGCUCCAAUGCUGUCAUAAUAACCUACAAAGGGACACAUGACUAUGCCAUGCAUGAACAAAGAGAAAGCGACAUGGCCCAUCGAGUGCUCCUCUCGUCGCGGCUGCCGCUGCCUGGCUCCACAGAAUCAUGGGUGCGCCUCUUGCUCGGGUGAGGAAGUAUAGGUUCAUUGUGGUCCUUGGUUGGUAAGUGACAAAGCAUUGAAAGCGGCUGAUUGCAAGAGCGACGGGGAACGUUCCCAAUCCUCGUUCUCAUCCCAGCUGGAGAUCAGCCAUGGCCACUGAGUCCGUCGAAGGACCUCUUGCUGUCUUCACUCCGCGCAAUCCCUUUCGUUUUCUUCCCCGAGUUCCCUCCGAGACUCUCUCUCACACUUGAUCCGCUCAAGCACUGCGCUGAAGCUCUCAAGUUCUUCAAAGAUAAGCUCCAGACGCCUGAGAAGACCCGCUAGGGGUUCGUUUUCUUGCAGGUCAACAGGAUGGGACUAUCCGAAAUGAUGAGAAACUACACUGUGGCUCUCGACAGUGUCAAUUUAAGAAAAUACUGCUGCUGAUGUUGCUCUGAGGCUUGUAAGGCCAAGAAGAAAGAACAAGGAUGUAACAUAGGCAAUUCGGAGGGUUGCUGCUGCAUAUGCCUGCCAAAUUGUCGAAGGUAUACUCAGCCACCAGCCAAAGCAGUUUGUGAUAGAUGGGAACAAAGUCGUACUGAGUGUUCCCUGUCCGGAGACCAGAGUUGAGGAAGCUGUGAACUCUGAGACUUUAUUUCAGAUCCAGUCUCAGGUACAAGAAAACCUAGGGUCUCGGCCUGCCGAGAUAAAUGAGAUAUGGCAGCCUAGUAUAUUUGAUUCAUGGAGAGCCAGUCAACGUUAGUAUGAGAAUUGGUGAUGGCCGGCAAGAGAUCCUUGAGAGAAGUUUCUAUUCCAGGUGGAGGGGUCCCUGUUGAUGAUGAGACAAUCUUCUUUGCCGCUUUGGUGUGUCAGCCUACUGCCCACCUCAAAAAGCUUGUGGAUCAAGAUCCUAUGAGGCUAUGGUAUAUCCUCCUGAAGCUGCCAUAAAAAGCCCAGGCCCAUUUCUAGCAUGGCAUGCAUGGCCACCUUUGAUCCAGGUGCCAUUUCCCAUUUUGCCAUCUUUAACUUUUUAAAAUAAUUUUCCAAGUCCUUUUCUUCAAAUAAAUUUCCGGGUUUUAGUCUUUAAAUAAUUCCAGCUCCAUGUUUUUCUUCAUCCUUAGAAUUUUUAGGUUCCAAAAAUCUAUUUUCCAAUAAAAUUUGCCACAAUUUUCUUCUUGGCGAGUCUCAUUUUCACAUUUUCCGUGAUUUCUAAAAUGUUUUUAAAAUAAGCAAGGAUCAAAUUUUGUAAUUCCUAAUUAUGGAAUUUACGGAUUUGGCUCAUGCAAAAUAAAUAGGCUUUGGUGGGGGGCCCCACAUAUAUGUUUCUGAUGAUUGAUUGGUUGAUUGUUCGAUUUGAUUAUCAUACAUGUUUGAUUUAUCCUGCUCUUUGACGUACAUGCCAUUAUUCUCUAAUUGUGUACUAACCAUCUUUCUUGAUAAUGCAUUGAUCGUUUGACGCCAAGGUAUGCCCUUUUCUCACUCUAGUCACUCUAUAUAUAUGUAUUGAUUCUCACACCUGCAUGAUCAUUUUGAGUAUUCAUUGAUUUACUCGUCAAUUGCCGCGUCAGCUUCAUUUUAUUAGUAGAGGCCCGACUUUAGGGACUUAGAGGGGUGUUAUGGUCUUUUACCGUACCUUCCCGAUAAGUAACCUGACCCUCGAACCCGAUUCGGUUUUUCACAGAUCACCUUUUCCAAAAUAAGGAGUCGCACUUAGGGUUUUCUUUCUUAUUUUAUUUACCCUUUAAAAAUAAUACAAAAAUAAGUGGCAACUCCAAGUCAUUUUCUAAAUCAAUAAAAAUCAUUUUUCAAAUUAAAAUUGAGCUCGCCAUCGAGUGGGAAACGCAUGAGCCAAAAUGCAGGGUCCACACUCAUAUUUUUUUAAAUUAGUGUAUGAUUACAUGAUUUCCCAAAAAAGAAUAUCAGUGUACACAGAAUCCCGAAGAAUUGGACACAAGUAGAAUUGAAAUUGAAUGUGAAUCGAGUGUGAAAGGACAACUUGUAAGAAGACAUUUCUCAGACUUUUCUCAAUAGUACGGUAAUUUAAAAAAAUUAUUCUUAAAUUAUUGUAGUAGAAGAAGUUAUUACAAAUAUAUGAUAGUUUUUGCCACUUAGGAGAGAGGGUGAACGGAUAAAUUUUUUUUUAAACCAAAAUCGUCUUUUCAAAAGACGAUUUUAUUUCCAUUUAAAAAAAAAAAUUCAAAAGGGAAAUCGUCUCUUGAAGAGACGAUUUCCCAUUAAAAAAAAUUAAUAUUUUUUUUAAUAUUUAUUACAAAUUAUUAAAAAAAAAAAAACCCAAGGGAAAUUGUCUUUUGAAGAGACGAGUUCCCAUGAAAAAAAAUAAUAUUUUUUUUAAAAAAAAUCCCGAAUUAAAAAAAAAAUCCUCAAGGGAAUUCCCAUAAAAAUUUAAUAUUUUUUUUUUAAAAAAAUUCCAAAUUAUAAAUAAAAAAUUAAAAUAAAAAAUCCUCAAGAGAACUCAUCUCUUUAAGAGAUGAGUUUCCAUGAAAAAAAAAAUAUUUUUUUUACAAAAAAAUUCCCAAAUUAAAAAAAAAAAAAAAAAAAUCCUCAAGGAAACUCGUCUCUUGAGAGACGAGUUCCCAUGGAAAAAUAUAUAUAUAUAUAUAUAUAUAUAUAUUUAAAAUUCCCAAAUUAAAAAAAAAAAAAAAUUCCUCAAGGAAACUUGUCUCUUCAAGAGACGAGUUCCCAUGAAAAAUAUAUAUAUAUAUAUAUAUAUAUAUAUAUAUAUAUAUAUAUAUAUAUAUAUAUAUAUUUUUUUUUAAAAUCCCAAAUUUUAAAAAAAAAAUUCCUUAAAGGAACUCGUCUCUUUUUUUAAAAAAAAAAUCCCAAAUUAUAAAAAAAAAAAGAAAAAAAAAAUCCUCAAGGGAACUCGUCUCUUCAAGAGAUGAGUUCCCAUGAAAAAAAAUCUCAAAUUAUAUAAAAAAUAAAAUAAAAUAAAAAAUCCUCAAGGGAACUCAUCUCUUCAAGAGACAAGUUCCCAUGAAAAAAAAUUAAUAUUUUUUUUUUUAAAAAAAAUCCCAAAUUAUAAAAUUAAAAAAAAAAAAUCCUCAAGGGAACUCGUCUCUUGAGACGAGUUCCCAUGAAAAAAAAUAAUAUUUUUUUUUAAAAAAAAUCCCAAAUAAAAAAAUAAAAUAAAAAAUCCUUAAGGGAACUCAUCUCUUAAAGAGACGAGUUCCCAUGAAAAAAAAUUAAUAUUUUUUUUAAAAAAAAAUCCCAAAUAUAAAAAUUAAAAAAAAUCCUCAAGGGAACUCGUCUCUUCAAGAGACAAUUUCCCAUUAAAAAAAAUUAAUAUUUUUUUUUAAAAAAAUCCCAAAUUAAAAAAAAAAAAUCCAAAGGGGAAAUCGUCUCUUCAAGAGACGAUUUCCCAUUAAAAAAAAAUAAUAUUUUUUAAAAAAAAUCCCAAAUUAUAAAAUAAAUAAAUAAAUAAAUAAUUCCAAAAGGAGAAAUUGAAAAACUUUUAGAAUAUUGUAAACAAGAAAUUGAUUCAUUAUUAAAUACAAAAUGCUGUUGAGAUAGAAAAAGGAGCACCAAGAUUAGUCAUUAAUUAUAAACCUUUAAAUAAAGUAUUACAAUGGAUAAGAUACCCUAUUCCUAGUAAGCAAGAUCUACUCAAAAGAAUACAUAAUUCUGUAAUUUAUUCAAAAUUUGAUAUGAAAUCUGAAUUUUGGCAAGUUCAAAUUAAAGAAGAAGAUAGGUACAAAACUACUUUUACUAUCCCUUUCGGUCAUGAUGAAUGAAAUGUCAUGCCUUUUGGUCUCAAAAAUGCCCCUUCUGAAUUUCACAAUAUUAUGAAUGAUAUUUUCAAUCCUCAUUUUCAAUUUAUAAUUGUAUACAUUGAUGAUGUCUUAGUAUUUUUUGAUUUAUUAGAAAAACAUUUUGUUCAUCUAAAAAAGUUUUUCAAUGUCAUUAAAGCAGAUUUUUAGAACAUGAAAUUUUUUAAGGAAAAACAAAACCGAUUCAAAGGUCAAUAGAAUUUGCUGACAAAUUUCCUAAUGAAAUAAAAGAUAAAAAACAAUAGGUUGUUUAAAUUAUGUUUCUGAUUACUUCAAAGAUUUGAGAAUCAUUUGUAAACCCUUAUACAAAAGACUUAGAAAAAAUGCACCUGCAUGGACUGAGCAUCAAAAGUCAUGAAUAGUAGUGAAUAGUAGAAUUUGUCUACUUUCUACUACUUUGCAAUCAACGUGGAGGAUGGGAAAGUAAAGUGAAUUUUUCUCUUUUCAAGUCUCUGACAAGGAAAAGAAAUUCUCCCUCUCCAGACUUCAUUACCCAACUGUCUCUACACGUGAUGAAUUUCAAAAAUUUUCAAGAUUGAAGAUUCAAUAGAAUUUCAAGUCUGAAUCAUCGCCUAUAAAUAGAGCCUCAACAUUCUUCAUCAAGCAGAGUCGGGAAGAGAGCUUCAAGAGCAGAAAAAAUUUAGAGAGUGCAAAAUUUUGAGCGUUCAAAAAUUUUUCCCUUUGGAAUUUUUUUUAUUUUUUUAUUUUAUAAUUUGGGAUUUUUAAAAAAAAAAUAUUAAUUUUUUUUCAUGGGAACUCGUCUCUUCAAGAGAUGAGUUCCCUUGAGGAUAUAUAUAUAUAUAUAUAUAUAUAUAUAUAUAUAUAUAUAUUUUAUAUUUGGGAUUUUUUUUAAAAAUAUAUUAAUUUUGUUUCAUUUGGGAUUUUUUUUUUAAAAAAAUAUUAAUUUUUUUUUCAUGGCCCUUGAGGAUUUUUUUUUAUUUGGGAUUUUUUAUAAAAAAAAUAUUAUUAUUUUUUCAUGGGAACCUUGAGGAAUUUUUUUUUAAUUUGAGAUUUUUUUAAAAAAAAUACUAAAUUUUUUUUUAUGGGAACUCGUCUCUUCAAGAGACGAAUUCCUUGAGGAUUUUUAUUUAUUUAUUUUUUUAUACUUGGGAUUUUUUUUUCAUGGGAACUCGUCUCUUCAAGAGACGAGUUCCCUUGAGGAUUUUUUUUUUUUUUUUUAAUUUGGGAUUUUUUUUUAAUAUUAAUUUUUUUUUCAUGGGAACUUGUCUCUUGAAAAGACGAGUUCCUUGAGGUUUUUUUUUUUUUUUUUUACAAUUUGGAUUUUUUUUUUAAAAAAUAUUAAAUUUUUUAAUGGGAAAUCGUAUCUUCGUAGGGAUUUUUUUUUUAAUUUGGGAUUUUUUAGAAAAAAAAAUAUUAAAUUUUUUUAAUGGGAAAUCGUCUCUUGAAGAGACGAUUUCCCUUUUGAAAUUUUUUUUUUUAAAUGGAAAUAAAAUCGUCUUUUCAAAAGACGAUUUUGGUUUUUGAAAAGACGAUUUUGGUUUUUGAAAAUACGAUUUUGGUUUAAAAAAAAAUUUAUCCAUUCACCCUCUCUCCUAGGUGGUAAAAACUACCAUAUAUUUGUAAUAACUUUUUCUACUACAGUAAUUUAAGAAUAAUUUUUUUAAUUUAUCGUACUAUUGAGAAAAGUCCGACAUUUCUGGUUCUCAUUCAAAGUAAUGAAUUCCAUGUCGGUAGGCGUUCUGUUAUGCGUUCCUUGUUUUCUUUCUCUUUCACAAGGACUUGAUUAGGAAGACUUGAAGUCAAACCGAGCCUCAUUGAUCUUCCAACUACGUACCAAAUAUAUAUCUAUUAGUUGAUCUUCCAUUUAAGAUUAAUAGAUGGAAACCAAAAAGUCAGGCGUAUUGUUUGAGCCGCAGAAAAGUCGGCAAUGAAGACCUCUUUUCCGUCGUCGUGGAAAGAUAGGCACGAAUUAAUGAAGUGAACGGGCCAUUGUUGUGUCAAAUCAUAAUUGGUUCCUAAAGGAAAAUUCUGACAAAAUCGUAAGAGUAAAAAAUGUAAGAAAAUGAUAAAUUGUCAUGUGACUUGAAAUGGAGUAGAUAGGGGGAAACAAGGAAGGAAAAAACAUAAAAGAAAUACAUAUUAAACAUGAUCUAUAACUAGAUCAUUCUUUUUUCUUCCUGUUUAAUUUAUCCCAAUCUACAUAUUAAACAUGCUUUGUUGUAGCAGUACUUCCUAGCUGCUUCCAAUGAGAAUUGCACUCUUUUCAUGGCUUUAUUUCUUGCCCUUAUGCUCAAUCGUUUUUGGUAUCCAUGUUGCUUUGGUGUCCGGGGAAUGUCUGAGUGAUGGGAGCAUAUGCCUGGAGGAUCAGAUGUCCUUGUUGCUGCAACUGAAGAACACCCUCAAAUUCAAUGUUGCUGCAUCAAGUAAACUAGUUUCCUGGAAUCCAAGCAUGGAUUGCUGUUCUUGGGGAGGUGUAACCUGGGAUGCCACUGGUCAUGUUGUCGCUCUCGAUCUCAGUAGCCAAUCAAUUUAUGGUGGAUUCAAUAACACCAGUAGCAUUUUCAGUCUACAAUAUCUGCAGAGCUUGAAUUUGGCUGACAACUCCUUCAACUCUUCUCAAAUUCCAUCUGGAUUCGGUAAGCUUGGCAAUUUGAUGUACCUGAAUUUGUCUAAUGCUGGGUUUUCUGGGCAGAUUCCAAUUGAGGUCUCAUGUUUGACGAAAUUGGUUACUAUUGAUUUCUCUGUGUUUUACCUUGGAGUUCCUACGCUGAAACUUGAGAACCCAAAUCUGAGAAUGCUGGUUCAGAACCUGACAGAGCUUAGAGAACUCUAUCUUAAUGGUGUAAACAUAUCGGCACAAGGGAAGGAAUGGUGCCAGGCAUUAUCAUCUUCAGUGCCUAAUCU
rnacentral:lncRNA from 1 species